GGGGGUAUGCUUGAGUGGUCAAAAAGGGCAGACUGUAAAUCUGUUGGCAAUGCCUACGGUGGUUCGAAUCCAUCUGCCCCCA
rnacentral:tRNA from 1 species